AAUAAACGCCCCCUUCAAGAUACGAAAAUUUAAUCAACGCCCAGGGCGUUCAUUGGAUCAUUUACGGUACUUUGUGCCAUGAGAGUUGAUCAUCAUAUUUAUAAUUUCAUGUCCUGUAGAUACUAAAUAUGCGCACAAAAGAAAAUAAAUAACAUUGACUGAAACCUGAUCAUAAAACACCGGCCCUGAGUUCUAACCCUUCAAUGAUGGUUACGGUUCGGGGUUGUUUAAUGCUCAGGCUUCAGUCAAUGUUAUUUAUUUCCCUUUCAUUUGCAUAUUUAGUAUCUACACGACAUGAAAUUAUAACCAUCAUCAAUGACCUGCACUUGGGUUAACUCGCUGAUCUCAAACCUAGCGCUGGAUAGUGCAUCCGCUAUGCAGAAAUGAAGACAAUGUCGGCCAUAUUGAUGUGAGCAACACAAAUCUACUGUGGUGUUGAUGACAUAGUGUAAGAGGUUCUUACAGUUUCUAGUUAUCGCUGAGAAAGGAUAAACAUUGUCUGAAUAGAAAUUUAUCAACAGUCGUCUCUCGUCCCCUUAAAUUUGCUCGUGAAUAACUGAUGUCACACCAAGAUGGCUGCUACAAGUCUCAUUAUCUAGUGUUUAAAACGUUCUAAAACUCAUUAGAAGAAAUAUGGAAAGCUAUAUUUUUUAAGUUACAUAGGAAAAGACAUUUGCUUCAUAAUGUAGCUAAUUUAAACACGUCGUGAUCCGAUUUGCAGAGAUUUUGACAGACUUUAAGAUCUCAUCUGAUUAUAAAUAUUCUGACUUCAAAAUUGGUUUAUUGAAUACAAAAGGAAACUCUAUUCAGUGUUUUGAGAUCAGUGGGUUAACUUUACUGUGAAGCGUAUUGUGUUUCCACUUUAUAUAUAACUUGUAUAAUUUCUAUGUAAAUGUUGUAUAUAUAAAUUACUUUUCCUAGAAUUAAACACAGAUUUGCAUCAAUUUAAUCAUGUAAAAGUUUUAGAUAUAACCUAUAUAAUCUCUGUGUAAAUAUUGAACAUGUAGUUUCGUUGAAAAAAACCUAAGCGUGCUAAUAUACCUUUUGUUGAACAAAAACAUUUUAAUCUGAACAUUGACAUUAGUAAGAAGUAGAACAUUGAAUUGAUUUGAAAUAAGUAUAUAUAAAUGUAUAGUCAUAAUAAAAGUUUUGGUUUUCA